CCUCCUACGGGGCGCAGCAGUGAGGAAUAUUGGUCAAUGGGCGCGAGCCUGAACUAGCCAAGUCGCGUGAGGGAAGACGGUCGUAUGGAUUGUAAACCUCUUUUGUCGGGGGGCAAAAGACGCCACGCGUGGCGUUCCGAGAGUACCCGAAGAAAAAGCAUCGGCUAACUCCGUGCCAGCAGCCGCGGUAAUACGGAGGAUGCGAGAGUUAUCCGGAUUUAUUGGGUUUAAAGGGUGCGCAGGCGGAAGAUCAAGUCAGCGGUAAAAUUGAGAGGCUCAACCUCUUCGAGCCGUUGAAAAUGGGU
rnacentral:rRNA from 1 species